GCCCAUAGUGGAAUACCAAAAACCAUCGUGAGGUCCAAAACACUCUCUCCCUCACAUUCACUCUCGUUUUUUUGUUUGCCAACGAAAGAAACUCCAACGAAGCUAGUCGCGCUGGUGUGUCACCGGCGAUGGCGAUUCGGAAAUACCUAACCCUCACCGCUCUCCAAUGUCUCUCCCAAUUGAAUUCAUAAUCAGACUCCCCUACUUAAAUAUACCAAAACAAUUACGUCUGAUCCUCGUCGUGGAUGAAUCAACGUCGAACAAUCAGAAGAGCACGACUCGACUAACGACUACACAAAUCUAUGCUUCACAUUACUGCAUCCAGUAAACCAGAUAGAUCGAGAAAAUAUGAGAAGCCUACCGGCAAAGGCAAAGGAGACUUCGAUGGCGACGUUAGCUCGAGCUUCCGGUAAUCGCUUCUCACUUUGCUUCCGCUUCUGUUGAUCAGCGACGAUGUGUCCUCGCGGUUUGCUUGGUUCGUAAGUGCGGUGAUAUUGUGGUUGCAGUCCUGCUUGAAACAAUGCGGCGACAACGGCGACCGGAGUUGGGUUACCAAUGGUUUUGGAAGUUUGGAGAGAAGAGUUUGUUAUCUGUGAAACGAAAAAAAUGGAAGAAGCCUCGAGAAGCUAUUGUAACCUCCUACUUAUACUCCUUGAAGAACUGAAUUUUUGGGCUAGGCUUGGCUGCUAGGCUUUAUUGACAUUUAUGCAGGUGUGAAGUGUUGGCUUGUGCGUUUAAACAGCGCUUGGAAGCCACUCUUGUUGGCAGCUUGGAACACGUUUUGGAAGCUUGUGAGUGAGUUGCUGUUCUGGCGUAAUGUCGCUUACGUUUCGGAUGGUGACGGUGCACCGCUUAUGCGAGUCGCGUUUGGAAUGUUGAGCUCUUCUUUGGACGUAUUGGCUUGUGUAGCGUUUGCUUUAUGCUGUAGUUGACGUUAGCGCUGCGUUUUACAGCUUGAGUUUGGCUUCACUUGCCUUGUGUUCAUGAAGCUUGUUACAGCUUUUGACCUCUGUUGUCGGCUUUGGUGCGACGCUGUUUUGGUGGCUUAGACUUGAGCUUUGGUAGCAACCUUUGGCUCUUGUGUCGCUGUUGAGUGCUUGGCCACUUGGCUUACACUAUUCACGCCGUUGCGUUUUAGUUUGUGCUUUAGCUUUGUAUGUUGGCUUCAGUUUAGAAGAGUUAAGCUGAUUUUGUGUUGAUGUUCAUGCCGCUUGUACCAGCUUUUGUAGCAGCUAAUGCAUAGUGUAUCGCAUUUCAGCUUUUCCAUUUGGCUUUGUUGCUGGUUGGAGCGCGCGCUAUGUAGCAGCCGUUAGCAGCUUUUUUUCA